rnacentral:rRNA from 1 species
GCUUGGUGCUUGCACCGAGCGGAUGAGUUGCGAACGGGUGAGUAACGCGUAGGUAACCUGCCUGGUAGCGGGGGAUAACUAUUGGAAACGAUAGCUAAUACCGCAUAACAGUAGAUGUUGCAUGACAUUUGCUUAAAAGGUGCAAUUGCAUCACUACCAGAUGGACCUGCGUUGUAUUAGCUAGUUGGUGGGGUAACGGCUCACCAGGGCGACGAUACAUAGCCGACCUGAGAGGGUGAUCGGCCACACUGGGACUGAGACACGGCCCAGACUCCUACGGGAGGCAGCAGUAGGGAAUCUUCGGCAAUGGACGGAAGUCUGACCGAGCAACGCCGCGUGAGUGAAGAAGGUUUUCGGAUCGUAAAGCUCUGUUGUAAGAGAAGAACGAGUGUGAGAGUGGAAAGUUCACACUGUGA